CUUGAGCCACCGUCUAUUAUGUAUCAAGGACAUCUCUAAAGCACACAGGAUCUUUAACAACCACAACAGCAUGACAAGGCAUUUCUAGGCAUUUUACUUUUCCGAUGUGAGGAGUCAAUGCCUCUAGCACAAGACAAUGUGAGAAAGCCUGGCUGGGUCAUUAAUAAGCAAAACCUGGGAAAAAAAAGAAAAACAGCAUCACCCAUAGAAUACUUUUCGUCCUGAGAGAUUUCACAAUUGGAAUGCAUCUGUGUGUGGUAAUGUGCUGAGUUUUAUAAGAUGCUAUCAAGGCAGGUUUUCCUACCUUUUGAGAAUCUACUCUAGAAACCAGAU
rnacentral:lncRNA from 10 species